AUCUAACAACUGGGUUAGUAGAGUUAGAGGAGACAGCUAGGUUAUCAUCAGCUAGGUUAUCAUCUAACAACUGGAUUAGUAGAGUUAGAGGAGGUAGCUAGGUUAUCAUCAGCUAGGUUAUCAUCUAACAACUGGGUUAGUAGAGUUAGAGGAGGCAGCUAGGUUAUCAUCAGCUAGGUUAUCAUCUAACAACUGGGUUAGUAGAGUUAGAGGAGGCAGCUAGGUUAUCAUCAGCUAGGUUAUCAUCUAACAACUGGAUUAGUAGAGUUAUAGGAGGUAGCUAGGUUAUUAUUAGCUAGGUUAUCAUCUAACAACUGGGUUAGUAGAGUUAGAGGAGGUAGCUAGGUUAUUAUUAGCUAGGUUAUCAUCUAACAACUGGGUUAGUAGAGUUAGAGGAGGCAGCUAGGUUAUCAUCAGCUAGGUUAUCAUCUAACAACUGGGUUAGUGGAGUUAGAGGCAGCUAGAUUAUCAUCUAACAACUGGGUUAGUUGAGUUAGAGGAGGCAGCUAGGUUAUCAUAAGCUAGGUUAUCAUCUGACAACUGGGUUAGUAGAGUUAGAGGCAGCUAGGUUAUCAUCAGCUAGGUUAUCAUCUAACAACUGGGUUAGUAGAGUUAGAGGAGACAGCUAGGUUAUCAUCUAACAACUGGGUUAGUAGAGUAAGAGGCAGCUAGGAUAUCAUCUAACAACUGGGAUAGUAGAGUUAGGGGAGGCAGCUAGGUUAUCAUCAGCUAGGUUAUCAUCUAACAACUGGGUUAGUAGACUUAGAGGCAGCUAGGUUAUCACCAGCUAGGUUAUCAUCUGACAACUGGGUUAGUAUAGUUAAAGGCAGCUAGGAUAUCAUCAGCUAGGUUAUCAUCUAACUACUGGGUUGGUGAAGUUAGAGGCAGCUAGGUUAUCAUCUAACAACUGGGUUAGUAGAGUAAGAGGAGGCAGAUAGGUUAUCAUCAGCUAGGUUAUCAUCUAACAACUGGGUUAGUAGACUUAGAGGCAGCUAGGAUAUCAUCUAACAACUGGGAUAGUAGAGUUAGAGGAGGAAGCUAGGUUAUCACCAGCUAGGUUAUCAUCUGACAACUGGGUUAGUAGAUUUAGAGGCAGCUAGGUUAUCACCAGCUAGGUUAUCAUCUGACAACUGGGUUAGUAGAGUUAAAGGCAGCUAGGUUAUCAUCAGCUAGGUUGUCAUCAGCUAUUUUAUCAUCUAACAACUGGGUUAGUAGAGUUAGAGGCAGCUAGGAUAUCAUCAGCUAGGUUAUCAUCUAACAACUGGUUCAGUAGAGUUAGAGGAGACAGCUAGGUUAUCAUCUAACAACUGGAUUAGUAGAAUUAGAGGAGGCAGCUAGGUUAUCAUCAGCUAGGUUAUCAUCUAACAACUGGGUUAGUAGAAUUAGAGGAGGCAGCUAGGUUAUCAUCUAACAACUGGGUUAGUAGAGUUAGAGGAGGCAGCUAGGU